rnacentral:rRNA from 1 species
UACGAACCGUACGAACGUUAUUCGGAAUCACUGGGCUUAAAGCGUGCGUAGGCGGCUGCGCAAGUCGGUUGUGAAACCCCGGGGCUCAACCCCGGAACUGCAUCCGAUACUGCGUGGCUAGAGGUAGGUAGGGGAGAUCGGAAUUCCUGGUGUAGCGGUGAAAUGCGCAGAUAUCAGGAGGAACACCUGCGGCGAAGGCGGGUUGCUGGGCUGACACUGACGCUGAGGCGCGAAAGCUAGGAGAGCGAACGGG